rnacentral:lncRNA from 1 species
UUUUCCCUUCUCAGAAUGAUUUAUCUUUGCGAGCUUUUUCUGAUUCGGAUUGGGCUGGUUGUCCAAUAUCUCGUAGAUCCACUACGGGUUAUUGUGUUUUUCUGGGAUCUUCUCUUAUUUCUUGGCGGACAAAAAAGCAGAAAACCGUAUCUCUCUCCUCAGCAGAAGCCGAAUAUAGAGCCAUGACAGGCACAUGUUGUGAAUUAUCCUGGCUGCGCUCAUUAUUAAAAGAUUUGAGAAUAUUGCAUCCAAAGCCAGCAUUAUUAUAUUGUGAUAACACAACAGCCUUACAUAUAGCUGCCAAUCCUGUUUUCCACGAAAGAACUAGACAUAUAGAGAUGGAUUGCCAUUUUAUUCGUGACAAAAUACAAGAUGGUUCAGUUGUAACCAAACAUAUUGCCUCAACAAAUCAACUUGCAGAUGUGUUCACUAAGCCAUUGGGAAAGGAAACUUUCUCAACUAUGAUACACAAGUUGGGAGUUCUUGACAUUCACUCUCCAACUUGAGGGGGAGUGUUAAGAAAGAAAGGUCAAUGAUAUCUGACCAUUCAUUAGGCAAAUAUAUUGUAUUAAUUGUAUAUUUAUUCAGUUGCCUUUUAUACUUAGAAUAGAUUAACAUGAUUGUAGGAAAUUAGCAUGAUUGUAGGAAAUCUCUUGUAUAAAGCUUCGUCUCCUGAUUCAAUAAAAUUAUUCAAGGCAAAUAUUAUUUUCUUUUUUUACACUGGGUGAUAAAGCCAAGAGAAAGAGAAAAAGAAAUGUUUCCAACCUUUAAGAGGAAAAAGUUUCAGAUUUGAGAAAUUUGAGAUGGUUCGGGUCAAGUGUUUUUUGUGUUUUAGAUUUGACAAGUUUCAAAUUCCUGGAGAAGAUAUAAAUAUGCAAAUUUGAAUUUUAAGGGUUUCUUUUAUGAGAUGAGAGCAAUUUUGGAAAAUUUUACAAGGUCUCUCUAAUUCGGCUGGGUAAGGAAGUGAAGAGAGUUGAGAGAAAAUGUUCCCAAAUGAAAGAGAUGGAAAGUUUUUGAUUUGGGAAAUUAGAGGUGUUGUCAGGAUGGGUGUUUUUGAGAACUUUUAAAUUCUAAUUUUUGUGUUUUGUUUAAUUUCAGAAGGUCUUGUUGACAUAGAAGCUGACUUGCUGCUAACAUGGAGACAUUGAGGGACAAUUUGGGAAGAGAAAAUGUAAACAUGACAUAGUGCACGAGAACGAUAAUAUUUUCUCCAAUAACAGGGAAAUCUCAUAUUUCAUAUACUUGGGGUUUGAAAAGCAUAUAAUUUUCAAAUCACAGACUGAAAACACAAGUUUCCCAUAAAUAUACUUAAAGCAUGUUUGAUAAUAAUUUUGAAAAAUAAUUUUCGACAAUAGUUAUUUAAAAUUGUUUUUUGUUGUUUAUAACAUAAAAAAAAUAUAUAUAUAAAAAAAACUUGUUUGACAACCUAAAAUAUUUUAAAAAUAAUAUUUAUAUUUAAUAUUUUAUUUUUAAUAAUUUUAUAUAUUUGGAUAAUUACUUUUAAAAAUAACUGUAAAAAAAAUAAGUGAAAACAAGUAAAGAUGUUAUCCGAAAAAAUUAUAUUUUUUAUUUUUAAAAACAUAUAACAUUUUUUCUUAUUCUCAAACAAGUUUUCCUGUUUUUUACGAAGAAAAAAUUAUUGUCAAACAAUCCCUUAGAUACUUGUGUUUUAUUAAGUGGUGAAAUAUCUUCAUAUGAAUUAUAUAGCAACUCAUAAGAGUAGCAGAAAAAGAGACAAUUUUAAAAGCGCAUAUGACAAGUGGAAAUUAUUAUAAAAAAAAAAAAGAGGCUAUUUUAAGAAUGGAUUUGAUGUGUCACAAAGACCACUAAAAUUUGGUGUGAAUAUAUUUAAAUAUAUAUAUAUAUAAGUUUUAAAUUUUGUUGAUUAGCAUAUCUAUAAAAAAAUUUAUUUAUAAAAUUUAAUUUUUAGAGAAAUUUUAGAUAAAAAGAUUUUAUAUCUAUUCAAUCAAAAAUUGAAACAGUAAAUGUAUUUACUCUAAGCUAUGGUGUGUGAAUUAAACCAACCUUCAAAUAAAAAUAGAAAAAAAAAAGUGAAUCAUAAUAAAAAGGAAAGUAGUCAAAAUCAAAAGGAGAAUCAAAUUUGAUUUCCAUAUUAGUGAUUUUUUUAAAAAAAUUCUAUUAUCAUUGUAAAAAAUAAUUCAAAUACAUUAAUAAAUUGAAAAUAAACUUAACUCUUAUUCUCAUUUUUUAUUCCAAUGUUUCAAAUAUAACGUCCAUUUAUUGAUUAGUGUUGCCAAAUCCGAACAAUUGCAUAGCAAUACAAAGAAAUAGAAUUGAGCAUAUAAAACACAAAUUUCUCAAUAAAUAAAACCAUAGCGAAAGUGCAAGUAUAUAAAUAACAUCAAUUUUAUCAUACAAUCUUAGCCAACACUUUUUUUUUUUAUAGUAUCAAAAAGCUACUGAAAAAAAUAUUUCUUAUCACCAAGAAAUUACUUUUUUUAAAUGAAAAAAUUAUUUUCAUUGAAUGAAUACAUAAGUCGUAUUUGGAAUAACUUCUUGUUCUUAAUUUUAAUUAAAAGCUAAAAGUCACAAAUUUUUAAAAAUAAUAUUGAUAUUAUAAAAAAUGUAUUAAACAUAAAAAAAAAACUUUUUAAAUAAGUCAAAAUAAAUCUUUAAAAAAACAUUUUCUUGAUUUUCAUAUUAUGUUAUUUCUUAAGUUAUAAAUUAUUUAAAUAAAAUGAGCGGCAUAAAAAUUUUUAUUGAGCUUUAAAAAUGGUUUUUGACUACUCAAAUCUACCCAAUCGGAACCAUAGUGCCCGAUAACUUGGGGCUAGAAAAAUUGGCAAAAGGAAUUAGGUUAAAGUUCAGUACAUGCUACAUGCAUCUUGUUAAAGGCCAUAAAAGCAAUUCCAUAAUAUAUCACAUUUGGAGUUUUGGAUUUGGGUUUUUGAUCUAAAAUGAGAGAAAUUUUGGGUUGUCGAAAUUGAAAGAUGAGAGAAAGCUUUCAAAUGAGUAAAUUGAAAACUUGCAGAUUGUGUGUGUUUGUGUUUUUUUUUAGAAGUUAUAGACUAAGAUUUUAGUAUUUUUUUUUUCUUAAUUUCAGUGGUUCUGUUGAUAUGGAGGUUGGAAUGAUGCUGAGCUGGAGACACGGAUGGACAAUUUAGGCAUAGAAGAUGGAGCCGGCUCAGAGGGCACAAAAACAAUAAUACUUUUCAUAUUAAAAAUUGAUUUUCAUAUUAAAUUUUAUACAUCUAUUUUAAAACAAUUAAAAUUUUCUACAAUAUUCAAUUAUAAUAUAAGUACUGCCUCUCACGGGUCGAUACUAAUGACGAGUGCAUGAAAUUAUUAUAAAUAUCUCAUGGAAUAAAGAAGAGGAGAGAGAGAGAGAGAGAGAGAGAGAGAGAGGGAGAAGAAGAAGACAACCAAAAAAGAAAAAGAAGACAGCAUUGUAAACAUAGAAAAUGGAAAGUAUUGGAAAUAUUUCAUGAAAUCGGAGUAAACAACAAAACAAAAUAAAGUACUUUUCAUUCCUGUUUCCUACUUCUGUCAUAAAGUAUAAAGUAUGGAUAGAGAUGAGACGAAGGAGGAGAAGGAGGAGCACUCAGCUUUCACCGGUACUGCAGUGUGUUGUGGUGGUGUAGCAUAUGGUAGGAUGUCAUUCUUGCUCCAAAAGUGUGGGCAGAUCCAUUUUUAUUUUCCUUUUUUCAUCUCUGUCCUCACUGAUUCGUUUUGGGUUUCCAUCAAUAUUUAUCAGUGGGCUUGGUGUUAGUCAAAAGCCACCAAUUUUUCUUUCCUUUUUUUUCCCAUAUAUUAGAAUGAAAUGUUGUUGUCCAUUUUAGGGGAAGGCGUUAUGCUGAACUGAACUGUGCGAGGGGAAUGAAAAUUAAUUUAGGGGUUUUCUUCCUCCUCUAUUUUUGGCUCUCUUUCAUGAGGGUACAGAUUGUCUUUUUUUCUCUCGGAGUGUUUGGAUUGUUUCAUUCCAUUUAACUAUUUUUGCAGCAUAUUCCGAGUGUUAUAGGUAUUGGGUAAUCAGUAAUACAGAAAAUGUAAUAUAAUUUUGUACUAUGUAUUUUUGGACUUGGGGUAGGAUGAGUUUAAUUUAUGUAGAUUCAUGUCACUAUUCUCAGCCUUCAAUGCAUUGAUUUCUCCAUAUUUUGAUAUAUAUAUAUACAAACUGCAAUGGGAAUAAAAAGGAUGGUUGUUUCUUCAAGAAUUCUGAGAAAAAAAAAGGGGGUAGGGGGGCAAGAGAGGUUUGAGGAGGCCAUUGGGACUUUUAUCAGUUCUGUGUCUUUUGUUUUCAAGUUGUAAGAAGUCCCUGUUAUGCCAUUUUCUAUGUUGUUUGUGUCCAAUUUUCAGUUGAAAGAGUGGUAGAUUAGAGAAGGAGGAAUGGCUCAGACAUCUGGAUGCAGCUCUGGAGAUGGUAGAUGGUCUCUCAAGGGAAUGACUGCUCUCAUAACUGGUGGAACUAAAGGAAUUGGGUUUGUGAUGUUACCUGUAUUCUGUCUUUGGUUUGGACUACACCUUCCUUCCCAUAUAUAAAUGUAUGUAUCAAUUAUGCAGGCAUGCAAUUGUGGAAGAACUGGCUGGACUAGGAGCAACCAUACACACAUGUUCUAGAAAAGAAACCGAGCUCAAUGAAUGCUUGAAGGAUUGGAAAGCUAAAGGUUUUGGAGUGAGUGGUUCAGUGUGUGAUGUAUCCUCUCGGGCCCAAAGGGAGAAGCUAAUGCAGACUACCUCUUCUGUGUUCAAUGGGAAGUUGAAUAUCCUUGUAAGUUCCCCUAGCCUGUAAAGUUCCAACCUGUGAUCUUACACAUAAUUUGUUGAACUUAUUACAAUUGAGUUCCCCUGCUUGAAUUUUUGUUGGAUUCAAAUCAACAAUGCUGCUAUAAGUAUUCAGAAACCAACAGUAGAGGUCACAGCUGAAGAGUUCUCAACAAUCAUGGCCACAAAUUUUGAAUCUGUGUAUCAUCUGUCCCAAAUCGCACACCCCCUUUUAAAGGCAUCAGGAACCGGAAGCAUUGUAUUCAUCUCCUCUGUUUCCGGCAUAGUGGCACACAAGAAUAUCUCUGCUUAUUCAGUAACCAAAGGUAUUUCAUCACAUGAUCCAUGGUAUAUUCCAAGUGCUAGGAGUAAAUUCCUAUUUACAAGAGCAAUACUGAACAAGAGAAACAUAUAGAAUUUAUAGCGGUUCUCUUCUAAUGCUGUAGCUCCUUGGUACAUCAAAACUCCAAUGGUGGAGCCGGUAAUUUCUAAUUUCCCUUCACAUCAUUUAGUUGCUCGAAUUCCCUUCUUUUUUUCUUGGUCUGGGAAAAUAGAAUAAUUGACUCGUCCUUCCUUCUCUGUCUUUUACAUUCUCUGGGUUCCAGAUGCUCACUAACCAAGCCUUUCUGGAAGAGGUGAUAAAUCGAGCUCCACUUCGUCGUGUGGGAGAUCCAAAGGAGGUGUCAUCUUUGGUAGCAUUCCUCUGCCUACCGGCAUCAUCUUACAUUACUGGACAGAUUAUUUGUGUUGAUGGUGGCAUGACUGUUAAUGGUUUUGAGUCAAACCUGCUCUAGGAACAUCAUAUGUGAUGGUAUUAUAGCCCUAAUUUUGCUGGCAUGUAUGGAGACUCUUUCAAACAUCUUAGCUUCCUCUACUGCUUCCAUGCCUGGAUCCUUUCUUUUUCCUGAAUAAUCUGCUUGUCAUGUCAAAUCUUCAGUUUUUUUGGUGUGGGGUUCCCUUGAAAACCUUGCUGCAUGAUGCUUAUAAUAAUGUUUGGAAAGUUUGCUAAUUUUUAUUUGGGUUCAAAUUUUAAUUUUUCAAAAAGUUUCUUAUUAUUUGAUGAGAUUCUUGUGAAGGGUGUUUUUAUAAGGAUUUUAAUUCCAUACAUUAAUCAUACAUCUUUAAUCUCAAUACCAUUGAAAUAUAUAUCCAAUCCUUUGUUGUUCUUUCAUUUUUUUGUAACUUAAAUGUAGUAGGAUCGGAAAUAUGCAAACACUUUCUACUUUUGACCAUUUGCUUUGCUAAAUUAGACCAACUUUUCAUAAUAGUAUUUCUUCAUUUUCAUUACAAUGAUCAUGCAUGGAUAUGGAAAAACUAAUCGGACUCUAAUGUCGUUCAAAUGCAUUUCAUAGAUCAAUCUUCAUCAUCAUAUCAUAAUUUCCAAAACUUGUUAGAACUUCUAAACUUAGUCAAUAUGUAUAGACAUGAUAUCCUCCAUGAUUUUUUUUACUGGAACGAAAAAAAGUCAUACAUUCUAUACUUGAUCCCUAGAAAAAAAAAAAAAAAAAGUCUUGCAAAAAUAUUAGGGUUGCACAAAGUUUGGUUGUUAGAAUAAGUAAAAAUGAUGUGCAUCAAAAAAUGUCUUUGAGAAUGGCAAAUAUGUGAGAGUGCUUUAAAAACUCAAAUAGCUUCAAAUGAAUUUUAAGGAAAUGAUUCCAACAUAUAUUCAUCUUCUUAUACCUUUCUGUGCUUCUCCACCAUUUGUAACGAUUUCCUCACUCAUUUGUAAUCCUAAUAAACCUUCCGGACUAUUUUAAAAUUUGUCAUUAUAUUUUAAGCUAAGCUCACCAUCUAUAGUAUCAAAAAAAUUUCUCCUUAAUCCAUGUGGGAUAUGUAUAAUGAAUAAUAUUUGCUCAAAGGUUAAAUAUAUGAAAAUAAUUAAGAUUCAAUCACAUAAAAAUUACAUAUAGCAAGUAGGGAUAACAAUUUUGAUACUAAUAUGAUAAAACGACUCAAAAAUUACAUGGAUUUUAGCAGUUUUGGGUUAAGUAUAAUCAUAUUUAUGUUAUAAUUGUGUAAACACAUUUAUUAAACCAAUGAUAUUGGAAUGUGACUAUUCAACUCAUUUAACCCAUUUAUUUAUUUAGAUCAAAACACAUCUAUGAUAUGAUUAUGAGAACUAAUUUAUGAUUGACAUAACCAAUUUAUAACUUAUUAAUUAAUUCAUAUAAAUUUAUUAAUUUUAUAGAUAUUUAAAAAAUAUUAAAAAUUUAAAACACUUUUUCAAUUCUAAAGAUGUCCUAUAAAACACCAAGGAGGUCACCCUUAUUUAUAUGUGAAAUUAGGGAAUUAAAUUUGAAAUAUCUGAUAUUUGAUUACUUAAUUUAAAGAAUUUGAUUUCUUAAUUUCAAUAACUUUUCACCCUCAUUUAAGAAAUUUGCCAACAAUCAAAUGUUUUUUCUAACUUCCUUUUUACUUCAAUUUCCCAAUUUAUUUCUCCUAUUUGGGAAAUCUAUCAAUAAGAAAAUAUUUCUCUCUAAUUCCUUUUUAACUUUAAUUAUUUUAUUUUAUUUUAUAAGACUAGAUUUUGUAACUGUUCAAAUUUUACCGUGUGUUAUUUUUAAAAUUGUAUAUCGCAUGUUCAAUAUAUAGAAUUCAUGACUUAUGAAAUCCAAAUUUUAUUGAACUAAAGAGUUAUAACUUUAGUGACAAAUUUUAUAGUAAUUUAAUCCUUCAUUUAUUUUUAAGCCUACAUAGCUCAACAAGUUGAAUAUAUUUUUAUCGUGUUAAUGGGUUAUCAGUCUUGAUUUAAUUUAAUUUAUCAAAUAGGUUAAAUAAAUGAUUCCCAAUUUGCCACCACAAUAACAAGAGACAACAGACAGAAGGGAAGGGAAACUAAACUACGUAAUGUGACUUUUCCUUUCAUAUUGCUUACUAUACUUGGUGUCUCUUAAUUUGUUUUUAUUCUAAGAUAUUAAUAAUAUGAUUUGAUUGAUUUAUACCCCAUAUAUGUCAUUUGAGGGAUUGAAAAUAUUGCAAAUUCAUAAUUAAAUUUAAAAGAUAAAUAUAUAUAUAUAUAUAUAUGAAUAAAAAAAAUCAUCUUUGUAUAAAAUAAUAAUUAGUAUAUUUUUAUCAUUUUUAUGUUAGAAGUUAAUAGAAAAUAUAUUUUUUAUUUUUCAAUAAUUUAUACAGAAUUAUAAUAAAAAUUGUAUGCUAGAUAAAAUUAUAUUUUAUAAUUUGUAAUAAUUUAAUUAUAUCAAUUUAAUAUUUUGAUAUUCGUCAUAAAUUAUAUAGAAAUAUUGGAGUGCAAAUACUAAACUACAUAAUAACAACAGGACACCUUAUUUAUCCAAAAUUUCAAAUUUUAAAUAAAAAAUAUUAAAAAAAUAAUUUUUAAAUUUAUUAAAUAUUUAUUUUUGUAAAAAAGUAAUUAAUAAAAAUUUUAAAAUUUUAAAUAUGAUUAAUGAGAUUAUUAUGGGGGUAUUUAUUACUAAUAUUUAUUAUUAAAAAAAUAAAAUAACAAUAUGAUAUUAAGAUUAUAUUUUUAUAAAUAUAGCAAAAUGAGAUUAUUCUAAAUUCAGUGAUGAUAACAUUAUAGUAAAAAUAAGGAGUGAUAUAAUUAUAAAUAUUUCACUAAGAGCAUAAAAAAUAAAAAUAAAAUAUGGUAAAUAUAGCGAGUAAUAUUGUUACCAUAAAUAUCUGGUGACACGACGACAGAUAUAUGAGUAAAGAAAAACCUGGGUAUUCUACAUAUAGAGAUUCAGAUACCAUUGCCUAUGUCAUGAAAUCAGAGUCCACAAGAAAACAUAAAAUGCUAUCGAUCCAUCGCUGUUUCUUGCUUCUGUUAUAAAUUAUGGAUACAAACAUAGAUGAAGAUGAGAAGUAGAAGGAGAAGAAACACUUAGCUUUCAAGGAGUGGUAGAGUAGAGGAGGAGACAUGGCUCAGACAUGUGGGUGCAGCUCUGGAGAUGGUAGAUGGUCUCUCAAGGGAAUGACUGCUCUUGUAACCGGUGGAACUAAAGGAAUUGGGUUGGUGUUACCUGUUUUUAUGUCUUUGGGUUUGGACUAUACCUUCCUAUAUAUAAACGUAUGUAUCAAUUCUGCAGGCAUGCAAUUGUGGAGGAACUGGCUGGAUUAGGAGCAACCAUACACACGUGUUCUCGAAAAGAAACCGAGCUCAAUGAAUGCUUAAAGGAUUGGAAAGCUAAAGGUUUUGGAGUGAGUGGUUCAGUGUGUGAUGUAUCCUCUCGGGCCCAAAGGGAGAAGCUAAUGGAGACUGUCUCUUCUGUGUUCAAUGGGAAGCUGAAUAUCCUUGUAAGUUCCUCUAGUCUCUAAGGUUCCUAUCCAUGAUAUUCCACAUACUUUGUCGAACUUCCUACAAUUUGAGUUCCCCUACUUGAUAUAUAUAUAUAUAUAUUUUGGUUCCGGAUUCAGGUCAACAACGCUGCUAUUGUUAUUCAGAAACCAACAGUAGAGGUCAAGGCAGAAGAGUUCUCAACAAUCAUGGCCAUAAAUUUAAUUUGAAUUAUAUUAAAUUUGAUAUUAUAAAUUCCUAAUUAAAUUUUAAAAUAUAUUAAAUUUAUUUGAUAGAAAUAUAUAUAAAUAAAAAAAAAUUAAUAUUUUCAUAUAAUAAAUUAUAUAAAAAUAAUAAUAUUUUUUUAUCAAAAUUGUUUUCAACAAUAUUUCAAAUAUAUAUAUAUAUAAAUUUGGGAAACUUGUGUUUUGCGGUUGCUAUUUAGGAAUUAUAUGGUUUUCGAAACCCUACAAUGGGAAAUAUGAGAAUCAGUUUUUAAUAUGAAAAGUGUUAUCAUUUUUGUGCACUCUGAGUCGGCUCCAUCUUCUAUGCCCAAAUUGUCCCUUCGUGUCUCCACUCACCAUCCUCAACAUCAUCCCAGCCUCCAUGUCAGUACGUAGGACCAUUGAAAUUAAGAAAAAACACUAAAAUCUAAAUUUAUAACUUCUAUAAAAAAAAACACCCCAUAUGCAAGUUUUCAAUUUGCUCAUUUGGAAGCUUUCUUUCAUCUUUCUUCGCUCCCGACAACCCAAAAUUUCUCUCAUUUUAGUUCAGAAACCCAAAUCCAAAACCCCAAAUGUGAUACAUUGUGGAAUUGAUUUCAUGGUCCUUAUCAAGAUGAAUGCACCAUGUACUAAACUUUAACCUAAUUCCUUUUGCCAAUUUUUCUGGCCCUAAGUUACUAGGAACUAUGGUUCCAGUUGGGUGGAUUUUGAGUAGUCAAAAACCAUUUUUAAAGCUCAAUAAAAAAUUUUAUGCCGGUCUGUGGACCCCGUAUUUCUGCCCAUGCACUUUCACUUGAUGGUGAACUCGUUUUUUAUUAGAAAAAAAUAUUUAUUUUUUUUAGAAAAUGACUGGGAGUCGCCACUUAUUUUAAAGGGAAAACAAAAUAAGAAAAAAAACUCUAAGUGCGAUUCCUUAUUUGGAAAAGAUGGUCUGCAAAAAAAAAAAAACCAAAUCUGGGCUCGAGAGUCAGGUUACUUAUUAGGAAGAUACGAUAAAGACCGUAACACCCCUCUAAGCCCCUAAAAUGGGUCUCUACUAAAUAUGAUGAAGCAGACGUGACAAUUAACUAAUAGAUUAAAAGAUACCUAAAUGAUAUUACAAUAGAAGCCAAACAUGUAUAAAGGAUAGUCAAAGUGAGAGUGCGAGCAUACCUUAGCAACAAACACUAAUGUGCUAUCAAGAAUUAGGGUUAGUGCACAAUAAUGAGUACAAAAAUAUGUCACAUGCGUCACUAAAUAGAAUAAGAAAUCACCCAUGGCAAACAUUGCACUUCACUCAAAUUUAUUUAAUUUUAUUAAGAAGACAUCACUAAUGUUGGCCCCUCACCAAAGCCCAAUUUAUUUUUGCAUAAAUCAAUUCCAUAAAUUUCAUCACUUGGAAUUACAAAAUUAAAUCCAUGUUUAUUUUAAAACAUUUUAAAAAUCAAGGAAGAUGUGAAAAUUGCUUGCCCAAGAUAAAUAUUAAUGACAACAAAUUUUAUUGAAAAAAUGGAUUUUUGAUGAACCUAAAAAUUCUAAGGAUGAUAAUUCGAAGAGUUAAAAUAAUUUGAAAAACUAGAAUUUGGAAAAUUAUUUGCAAACUGGGAUUUGAGAGAUUAUUUUUUUUAAAUCAAAGAUGAAGAAAUGGAAAGAAUGACAUGCACAUGGCCCAAAUGUAGCCAUGCUAGGUGCAUAAGUGGGAGAGAUGGUGAGGGAUAACCAUGCAGGAGUGGAGGGAGUCCUACAGCCGGAUUUUGCCUUGGAGCUCCUUAUCUACAGAAUUCUGCCAAUAUUCAUCUUCAAUAUUCUCCACUGAUGAUUCUUUGGUGGAUUGUAAAAAAAAGAUGAUCUUCAGAUAAAAAUUCGGCAGAAUGGUAGAUCCCUUGGGUCAAUAUGUGCUUGAGUAUCAUUUCCAUCAGUACCAUCCACAGUAACUUUUUCGUGUUGCUCUUUAGCAUCCUCUGCUAUCGCAGGUUGACCUCCAAGAAGUACUUCAGAACUGGGCAUCUCUCACCUGUCUCCAAGCUAAUCACACCCUUGUGGACAUGCACACCCUCAGAUAAACCGGGUUUUUUCCUAAGAUCCUCAACAUCUUCUUUUUAUCCCAGUAGAGCCAAAUGCUACACCUUGGACAUGGGCAUUUUCAUCCACAUUAGCACACACUGAAAGACCCUGAUCAUGUUCAAUUGGAACAAAAACAACAGAUUCAGCAUCAAGAUUGAUCAUUUCUUUAUUAUGCAAUGAUUUCAUUUCCUGAUGUAGAUCAGUCUUUGAGGCAUUGAUGAUCUCAGAAGAAGAAAACAACUUUUCUUGCAAAUAGAUAAACUCAUUAAUACCAGAGUCUAAAUUAGAUACAUGUUCCUCUACAUUCAAUUCUUGAGCCUGAGCCAAUCCAUUUGAGUCAAUUGGCAGCAGUAUCUUUCCAUUGGUUCGUCCGGAUUCCCUCUCUAAUUCACAGCCUUCAGACUACUCCAUCUUAUCACUAGUAUUACCAUCAUCAACAUCUUCAAAGAUGCUAUCUCCAACAUUAAAUUGAGAAUCGCAACAUUGUGUUGAGAUAUUAGGAAUGCUUUCCGUAUAUCAUUAUUUCCUUAUAUUAUUUAGUGUUGAGAUAUUAGGAAUGUUUAAAUAUUAGGAAAGUUGAGAUAUUAAGAAUAUUGAGAUAUUAUGAAUAUUGAGAUAUUAGGAAAGUUGAGAUAUUAGGAUAUUAAUUGUUAUUUCCUUAUAUCAUUCUUUCCUUGUAUCAUUCCUUCCCAUUCUUAGAAUGGUGAUUACCCUCUAUAUAUUCUCUGUACAUGAACGAAUGAAAGGAUGAAUGGAAAAAACUACUAUUUAUCAAUUUGAAGAUGGUAUCAGAGUCAUGGAACUGAAAUCCUGGAUAUUUUGUCGCUAUGGUAGUUCGACAGCGAUCAUCCAUCCUAAGACAAGCCCUAAUAUUGAUAAGUCAACCUUCAAAUGCACUCACUUCAAUAAGAUUGAUCCCACCAAUCUGGAUAUCCCACAAUUUCAAAGCAACGACUCUUGGUAUGACCAGGAAAACAAUGAGGAACCGAGGGUUUGAACCAUGGACCUUUAGAUCAUGUUUAGGCUAUCAACACUUUGUUAUUAAUGAUAAUAAUCGUGAUCAACGAAAGAAGGAUUCCAAGAAAACCUCGAUUGCAACUGUUGCCGAAAUAAAAACAGAGGCUAAUGUUGCUGAGAAAGCCUCUGCAUUGGUAGUCGCUACAGAUCAUGGUGGUAAGUUUUUAAAUACUUUUACACCUGUUAUUAAUAGUGCAUGGAUAAUUGAUUUUGGUGCUAUAGAUCAUAUGACUUUUGAUUCAAGACAGGUUUCACCACUU